CUUAACACAUGCAAGUCGAACGUUGUUUUUGGGGAGCUGGGCAGAAGGAAAAGAGGCUCCUAGCUAAAGUAGUCUCGCCCUGCUUCAAAACUACAGGGCGCGCGCUACGGCUUUGACCUAACGGCCUCCGUUUGCUGGAAUCGGAAUAGUUGAGAACAAAGUGGCGAACGGGUGCGUAACGCGUGGGAAUCUGCCGAACAGUUCGGGCCAAAUCCUGAAGAAAGCUCAAAAGCGCUGUUUGAUGAGCCUGCGUAGUAUUAGGUAGUUGGUCGGGUAAAGGCUGACCAAGCCAAUGAUGCGCAAGGGCCUUGAGGUAGAAGCCAUGGAUCGCGUCCUGGAGCGUCGCCUUGAGGGCAGGGGAUUGCCAGUACGGCACGCUGCGGGGAG
rnacentral:ncRNA from 1 species